UACAGAGGCCUCGAGCGUUAGGCGGAAUCACUGGGCGUAAAGGGUGCGUAGGCGGGUCUUUAAGUCAGGGGUGAAAUCCUGGAGCUCAACUCCAGAACUGCCUUUGUUACUGAAGAUCUUGAGUUCGGGAGAGGUGAGUGGAACUGCGAGUGUAGAGGUGAAAUUCGUAGAUAUUCGCAAGAACACCAGUGGCGAAGGCGGCUCACUGGCCCGAUACUGACGCUGAGGCACGAAAGCGUGGGGAGCAAACAGG
rnacentral:rRNA from 1 species